rnacentral:rRNA from 1 species
AUUGAACGCUGGCGGCAUGCCUUACACAUGCAAGUCGAACGGCAGCACGGGUGCUUGCACCUGGUGGCGAGUGGCGAACGGGUGAGUAAUACAUCGGAACAUGUCCUGUAGUGGGGGAUAGCCCGGCGAAAGCCGGAUUAAUACCGCAUACGAUCCACGGAUGAAAGCGGGGGACCUUCGGGCCUCGCGCUAUAGGGUUGGCCGAUGGCUGAUUAGCUAGUUGGUGGGGUAAAGGCCUACCAAGGCGACGAUCAGUAGCUGGUCUGAGAGGACGACCAGCCACACUGGGACUGAGACACGGCCCAGACUCCUACGGGAGGCAGCAGUGUGGAAUUUUGGACAAUGGGCGAAAGCCUGAUCCAGCAAUGCCGCGUGUGUGAAGAAGGCCUUCGGGUUGUAAAGCACUUUUGUCCGGAAAGAAAUCCUUGACUCUAAUACGGUCGGGGGAUGACGGUACCGGAAGAAUAAGCACCGGCUAACUACGUG